rnacentral:rRNA from 1 species
GUGGGGAAUCUUGCGCAAUGGGGGAAACCCUGACGCAGCGACGCCGCGUGGGUGAUGAAGGCCUUCGGGUCGUAAAGCCCUGUCGGAGGGGAAGAAGGAUUGGCGUUCAAAUAGGGCGCUGAUCUGACGGUACCCUCAAAGGAAGCACCGGCUAACUCCGUGCCAGCAGCCGCGGUAAUACGGAGGGUGCAAGCGUUGCUCGGAAUCACUGGGCGUAAAGAGCGUGUAGGCGGUUUCGUAUGUCUGGCGUGAAAGCCCCGGGCUCACCCCGGGAAGUGCGCUGGAAACUGCGAGACUAGAGUCCCGGAGAGGAAGGUGGAAUUCCAGGUGUAGCGGUGAAAUGCGUAGAUAUCUGGAAGAACACCGGUGGCGAAGGCGGCCUUCUGGACGGUGACUGACGCUGAGACGCGAAAGCGUGGGGAGCAAACAGGAUUAGAAACCCUGGUAGUCC